GAUGAAGAACGCAGCGAAAUGCGAUAAGUAAUGCGAAUUGCAGAAUCCGUGAGUCAUCGAAUCUUUGAACGCACAUUGCGCCCGCCAGUAUUCUGGCGGGCAUGCCUGUUCGAGCGUCAUUUCAACCAUCAAGCCCCGGGCUUGUGUUGGGGACCUGCGGCUGCCGCAGGCCCUGAAAUGCAGUGGCGGGCUCGCUGUCACUCCGAGCGUAGUAAUACAUCUCGCUCUGGACGUGCUGCGGGUUCCGGCCGUUAAAAGCCUUAUUUACCCAAGGUUGACCUCGGAUCAGGUAGGAAGACCCGCUGAACUUAAGCAUAUCAAUAAGCGGAGGA
rnacentral:misc_RNA from 1 species